rnacentral:lncRNA from 1 species
GGUGAUAGCAGCAGAAGCAGUGAGUAAAUUUUAACUUUCUGUUUUGUUCUGAAAAUUAGUAGUGUGACAUAUGGUGUAUCUGUUUUGUUUUCACGAGGCUUCAGAUUAGAAGCAAGAUAUAGGUGAUAUAUGUAUAGUACUUGUAUGUCAAAUGAGAUUGAAUACGUAACAAGGGAUAUACAGUUGCUAGCUUGUGAUGUAGAUUAUUGGCCUUGCUACUUUUAUGUUUUGAUUAUCUUUAGAUAUUUAUUAAUGCUUUGGGAUAUUUAACUAUUAGGUUUUUGUUUCUUAUUUAGUGUGGGUGGUUGUGGCUGAACUACUUUUAUCAAUUUUCAAACCACUUUGCUAUAUUUCUUGGUUGCAACUUGCAAGUAUGAUGUUCUUGUAUAUUUUCAGUAAGGCUAGGAUCUUAGGCUUCUUUACAUUAAAGUUAAUAUAAUGACAGAGGUCGUAAAUGUGGGUAAACUGGUUGGCUAUUUGCAAGUGUUUACCCUGUUUUUCUACUGUUAAUGUAGUAUAUGGUAUAUUAUCUAUCUAUCUAUCUAUCUCUUUUAACCAAUGAUAUCAGCUUUCUUAGAUAGAGAUGGUUCAAAUGCAGGGACCUUAUCAAAUAAGCGGUUCAUCUACUCCGGAAACUCUUAACUUUGCUCUGUUAGUCUCCAGCUUUAUUCUUUUUUAACUUUCUACGCAUUUUUGCUACCUUUAGUACCACAAAUUCUAUAUAAAGCCAAGCCACUGAUCAUGUCACACAUUGCCUAAAAUGUCUUUAUGACCGUUUUCUUGAUGUAUUUCAGGUUUCACAAAGCUCACUUAGUCAAACCCUAUUUACAUGACAUAAUGAAUCAGAUCGAUACUUUGGAUUUCAAAAGAUGAGGAUUUAUUAUGUGAUCAUGUUGUACAAAAUAAUAUUUAAUUCAUGUUGUAACUUCGUGCUUUAAGAUUCCUUAUCUUCUGCUGCAUUUGUGUAGGAGUAGGAUUUUAAUUGUAAUUGUGCCUGCAGAUUUUGAUCCGGGAAGAAAAGAAAUGCUAUCACAACUCAGUUGCCUAAGCUUUGAUGAACUAGCUUAUUUUCUUCUACUCAAACUCACGUUGUGGAAGAGAUUCAGUUUGGGCUUUUCCUUUUUGGUUUGUUUUCAGAUUUGAUAACUAUUUGAGUGAUUUGUUUCUUCUAUUGUGUGGUUAUAAUGACUAAAUUCAACUACUAAUUGAAAAUUCACAAUUUCAGAAAAUAGAAGAGAAGUGACUAUUUGAGUUAGGCCUACUUGGCUUCUUCUCAACUUUGCCGUGGGUCAGACAUCAAGUUAAUUAAGAACAAACAAUUUGCAUUCUGGUAUAUCCUUUUAAUGUGUUUUAUACAUCCAUCUUUGUGAUUGAAUCUUCCGGUAUUUACAUAAUUUUGAUGUUAGCAUGUAACUUUUCCUGUUAUGUCCAUUUCAUAUUUCAAUCACCUUGUAUGAAUGUUGUUGACAUGCUAAGCAUAUUAGGCUAUGAGUUGGAUGACAUGAAUCAGGUGAGUGUAGUGAAAGUUAAGCCUACAUCUCUAUUCCAUUUCUUCACAUGUUCACUUUAAUUAAGACUAGUACUAGCAGAUAGCAAAACUUUAUUUCAAGUUCACAUUCAUUACGACUUGUGUACUUUACUUCCCAUGUUUUCUUCACAUGUUUUUACCCCAAUUUAUAGAGAGAAGUGAAAAUGGAUGAAUUAUGUUAUCUUGUUUCAGUUGUUUACACUAUCUCUAUUAUCUGUUAGAGAGAAAGACACCCUUGAGCAUAAUAAUGAUGUAAUACCUGAAGUUACACUAUCUUUAUGUCUACAAUCCAAAUUUACUAGUCUUGUAUCCUCAAUGGUGCUAAAAAAAACAUAAACUAAAGUUACAAAUGAUGAAAAUACUAAUUUCUUAGUAAAACAGCAUACAAGAUUUCAUUCCAUGUAUCAGGAGCACCAGCUAGACACCAGUGACUGCAGUCCUCAUAAGAAGUGCCUCGGCCAGUGUAUAUCGAAGGAUGACC